UAUCCCACUGCAAAUCUCCCUUGAGUUCUUGGGAAAAUAUGUGAGAUUGAUAAGCAGCAGGACAUUUUAAAGGAAAUACCCAACUAAGAAAGCGUUCAGGGUUUGACAUAGUUCGCAGGGGCAUUGGGAACGUCGUAAAAGACAUUUACAUUUUUAUAACAACAAUUACCAAGCUACGGAGAUAGCUCGGUGGUAAGAGCACUUGCUGAGCAACUAUCAAGACCUGAGUUUGAAUUCCCAACACCCAGGUUCAUGUAUUUAAAUGUUUGGUCUCCAGUUAGUGCUCCUGUUGGGGAGGCUAUGGGACUUCUCUGAUGGCAGCCUUCUGAAGGAAGUCCAUCACUGGGGAUGGCUUUCAGGGUACAGCCUCACCUCACUUCCAGUUUGCUCACUCUGUUUCCUGUGUGUGGCUGAAAUGUGAUCUCUCAGCUUCCUGUUCCUGCCACCAUGCUUACCCACCAUGAUGACUAUCUAGCCUCUUAA